UGGAGUCCUUGCUUGAUGAGAGCGUUGACAAGGAGAUAAAUUUGCAGAUCGAAUGAGGUGGAACUCCUUUAACAGUAACGCUGAAGGAUGAUCUGAAGCACCCAAAAGAAGUAGAGGACAUGACGGGAGAAGGGAACAAGAAGCUUCGUUUAUCAUUGAUGUUAUGUUGUGCACUUGUUGGGCCUUGAACCUUUAUGUGUAGAGGAGUCGAUGAAUAAUGUAUUGUAAUUCAUGUGAUGUGUUACUGAAAUGAAAUAUAUACAACUAAUUUGCAAUAAUUUAUUCUUGUGUAUUUGUUUUU